ACAACUUUCAACAACGGAUCUCUUGGUUCUGGCAUCGAUGAAGAACGCAGCGAAAUGCGAUAAGUAGUGUGAAUUGCAGAAUUCAGUGAAUCAUCGAAUCUUUGAACGCACAUUGCGCCCGCCAGUAUUCUGGCGGGCAUGCCUGUUCGAGCGUCAUUUCAACCCUCAAGCACAGCUUGGUGUUGGGACUCGCGUUAAUUCGCGUUCCCCAAAUUGAUUGGCGGUCACGUCGAGCUUCCAUAGCGUAGUAGUAAAACCCUCGUUACUGGUAAUCGUCGCGGCCACGCCGUUAAACCCCAACUUCUGAAUGUUGACCUCGGAUCAGGUAGGAAUACCCGCUGAACUUAAGCAUAUCAAUAAGCGGAGGAAAAGAAACCAACAGGGAUUGCCCUAGUAACGGCGAGUGAAGCGGCAACAGCUCAAAUUUGAAAUCUGGCUCUCGGGCCCGAGUUGUAAUUUGUAGAGGAUACUUUUGAUGCGGUGCCUUCCGAGUUCCCUGGAGCGGGACGCCAUAGAGGGUGAGAGCCCCGUCUGGUUGGAUGCCAAAUCUCUGUAAAGUUCCUUCAACGAGUCGAGUAGUUUGGGAAUGCUGCUCUAAAUGGGAGGUAUAUGUCUUCUAAAGCUAAAUACCGGCCAGAGACCGAUAGCGCACAAGUAGAGUGAUCGAAAGAUGAAAAGCACUUUGAAAAGAGAGUUAAAAAGUACGUGAAAUUGUUGAAAGGGAAGCGUUUAUGACCAGACUUGGGCUUGGUUAAUCAUCUGGGGUUCUCCCCAGUGCACUUUUCCAGUCCAGGCCAGCAUCAGUUUUCCCCGGGGGAUAAAGGCGGCGGGAAUGUGGCUCUCUUCGGGGAGUGUUAUAGCCCACCGUGUAAUACCCUGGGGGGGACUGAGGUUCGCGCAUCUGCAAGGAUGCUGGCGUAAUGGUCAUCAACGACCCGUCUUGAAACACGGACC
rnacentral:rRNA from 1 species